GCCUUCGUGGUGUAGUGGUUAGCACACUCGGCGCGUAUUCGAGAGGUCCGUGGUUCGAGUCCCGGCGAGGGCA
rnacentral:tRNA from 1 species